rnacentral:rRNA from 1 species
AGUGAACGCUGGCGGUAGGCCUAACACAUGCAAGUCGAACGGCAGCACAGUAAGAGCGUGCGCUUACGGGUGGCGAGUGGCGGACGGGUGAGGAAUACAUCGGGAUCUACUUUUUCGGGGGGGAUAACGAAGGGAAAGUUACGAUAAUACCGCAUACGACCUACGGGGGAAAGCAGGGGAAAGUCGGACCUGGCGCGGUUGAAUGAGCGGAUGACGGAUUAGCUGGUUGGCGGGGUAAAGGCCAACCAAGGCGACGAUCCGUAGCUGGUCUGAGAGGAUGAUCAGCCACACUGGAACUGGGCCACGGUCCAUGCUCCUACGGGAGGCAGCAGUGUGGAAUGUUGGGCAGUGGGCGCGAGCCUGAUCCAGCCAUCCCGCGUGGGUUAAGGCGGCCUUCCGUUUGUAAUGCCCUUUUGUUGGGAGAGAAAAGCAGCAGGUUAAUACCCCGCUGUUCUGACGGUACCCAAUGAAUAAGCACCGGCUAACUUCGUG